ACCAAGCGCGGGUAAACG
rnacentral:snRNA from 1 species